rnacentral:rRNA from 1 species
GACAGAGGGUGCAAACGUUGUUCGGAUUUACUGGGCGUAAAGCGCGUGUAGGCGGCUUGGCAAGUUGAAUGUGAAAGCCCCGGGCUCAACCCGGGAAUAGCUUUUGAUACUGUUGAGCUCGAGUCCGGGAGAGGAUAGUGGAAUUCCCAGUGUAGAGGUGAAAUUCGUAGAUAUUGGGAAGAACACCAGUGGCGAAGGCGGCUAUCUGGACCGGUACUGACGCUGAGGCGGCGAAAGCGUGGGGAGCAAACAGG